rnacentral:misc_RNA from 1 species
GAUGAAGAACGUAGUGAAACGCGAUAAGUAAUGUGAAUUGCAGAAUCCAGUGAAUCAUCGAAUCUUUGAACGCACAUUGCGCCCGCCAGCAUUCUGGCGGGCAUGCCUGUUCGAGCGUCAUUUCAACCCUCGACCUCCCCUGGGGGAGGUCGGCGUUGGGGACCGGCAGCACACCGCCGGCCCUGAAAUGGAGUGGCGGCCCGUCCGCGGCGACCUCUGCGCAGUAAUACAGCUCGCACCGGGACCCCGACGCGGCCACGCCGUAAAACACCCAACUUCUGAACGUUGACCUCGAAUCAGGUAGGACUACCCGCUGAACUUAAGCAUAUCAAUAAGCGGAGGA